rnacentral:rRNA from 1 species
CCUGGUUGAUUCUGCCAGUAGUCAUAUGCUUGUCUCAAAGAUUAAGCCAUGCAUGUCUAAGUAUAAGCAAUUAUACCGUGAAACUGCGAAUGGCUCAUUAAAUCAGUUAUCGUUUAUUUGAUAAUACCUUACUACUUGGAUAACCGUGGUAAUUCUAGAGCUAAUACAUGCUGAAAAUCCCGACUUCGGAAGGGAUGUGUUUAUUAGAUAAAAAACCAAUGCCCUUCGGGGCUCCUUGGUGAUUCAUAAUAACUUUACGGAUCGCAUAGCCUUGCGCUGGCGACGGUUCAUUCAAAUUUCUGCCCUAUCAACUUUCGAUGGUAAGGUAUUGGCUUACCAUGGUUUCAACGGGUAACGGGGAAUUAGGGUUCGAUUCCGGAGAGGGAGCCUGAGAAACGGCUACCACAUCCAAGGAAGGCAGCAGGCGCGCAAAUUACCCAAUCCCGAUUCGGGGAGGUAGUGACAAUAAAUACUGAUACAGGGCUCUUUUGGGUCUUGUAAUUGGAAUGAGUACAAUUUAAACCUCUUAACGAGGAACAAUUGGAGGGCAAGUCUGGUGCCAGCAGCCGCGGUAAUUCCAGCUCCAAUAGCGUAUAUUAAAGUUCCCCUGGGUGGGGGGAAGACUGACGUUCCUGGGUUUCAUUCCCAAACACUGUCAGUUAGGCCCAACUCAUAGUGAAGCCCAGAGUUCGGGAUUGCAAACAGAUGUGGAGCUCAGUAUUCGGUGGAAACUAGAAGCAAGUUUCCUCCCACAACCCGAAUGUACCUCACCGAGGUCCAGGGGUGUAACGAUGGAGGUUCGGGAUAAAACCCCCCGUAUCAGGAGGCAGAAAUGUCGACCCAGGGUGCUCCGCGGCCAAAAGUCGGGGACUGAGACCAGAAAUGGUCAAAGUCAAACCUGCCUAACUGAAGGCCCUCAAUCAGUCGUGUCGGACCUCUGCGUGAACGAGGUGUCCUGCCAAAGGCGGAGG